AGGAGAGCAGGUUCGAUGGAGAUGAGGAUGAAGGCCUGCGGAUGAAGGAGAAAGGCGAGUACUCCAGGGAUUCCUGGCAGCUCUGAGGAUCUGGCUGUGACUGGAGAAGAUGACCUUGUCGUGACCGCAGCUGUUGUUGCAGUGGUGGUUGUGGUCGCGAUGGUGGCUUCUCUCCAGAAGCCAGAGCAGCUGGCAUGCAGGAGUGAAGUGCACGGAGCAGCAGUGCCCCAGCGAUGGUUUUACAGGCUUGGCACAAAAGGACUCAGACCAGGGCUGGCACAUCUCCAGAACCAUGUCAGAGUAAAUUGCAAACAUGAUGCCUUUUACCUCUAAAUACUCUAGUGGGCCAGGCACGGUGGCUCACACCUGUAAUCCCAGCUCUUCAGGAGGCCGAGGCAGACAGAU
rnacentral:lncRNA from 10 species